CGACUCUCGGCAACGGAUAUCUCGGCUCUCGCAUCGAUGAAGAACGUAGCGAACUGCGAUACUUGGUGUGAAUUGCAGAAUCCCGUGAACCAUCGAGUCUUUGAACGCAAGUUGCGCCCAAAUCCAUUCAUUUGGAAGAGGGCACGUUUGCCUGGGUGUCACAC
rnacentral:rRNA from 1 species